AUGUUGGAUGAAGAGAUGAAUCAAUCGGAUUCCCAAUGAUUCAAAAAUGAUAUCAAAUCCCUUUCUUUCUGACACAU